rnacentral:misc_RNA from 1 species
GAUGAAGAACGCAGUGAAAUGCGAUAAGUAAUGUGAAUUGCAGAAUUCAGUGAAUCAUCGAAUCUUUGAACGCACCUUGCGCUCCUUGGUAUUCCGAGGAGCAUGCCUGUUUGAGUGUCAUUAAAUUCUCAACCUCACCCGUUUUCUGAACGGGUCGAGGCUUGGAUGUGGGGGUUUGUGUAGGCUGCCUCACUGGCGGUCUGCUCCCCUGAAAUGCAUUAGCGAGGUUCAUGCUGAACUUCCGUCUAUUGGUGUGAUAAUUAUCUACGCCGUGGACGAGGAUCAGACUCGCUUCUAACUGUCCGCGAGGACAAUACCUUGACAAUUUGACCUCAAAUCAGGUAGGACUACCCGCUGAACUUAAGCAUAUCAAUAAGCGGAGGA